rnacentral:rRNA from 1 species
CCUACGGGUGGCAGCAGUAGGGAAUAUUGCUCAAUGGGGGAAACCCUGACGCAGCAACGCCGCGUGGAGGAUGAAGGUUUUCGGAUUGUAAACCCCUUUUGUUAGAGAAGAUAAUGACGGUAUCUAACGAAUAAGCACCGGCUAACUCCGUGCCAGCAGCCGCGGUAAUACGGCGGGGGCAAGCGUUACUCGGACUCACUGGGCGUAAAGAGCGCGGAGGCGGGAUAGCAAGUCAGAUGUGAAAUCCUACGGCUUAACCAUAGAACUGCAUUUGAAACUGGUAUUCUAGAGUGUGGGAGAGGUAGGUGGAAUGCUAGGUGUAGGGGUGAAAUGCGUAGAGAUAAAGAGGAAUACUCAUGGCGAAGGCGACCUGCUAGAACAUAACUGACGCUGAUGCGCGAAAGCGUGGGGAGCAAACAGGAUUAGAUACCCUUGUAGUC